UACGGGGGGAGCAAGCGUUGUUCGGAUUUACUGGGCGUAAAGGGCGCGUAGGCGGUCAGCACAAGUCAGUUGUGAAAUCUCCGGGCUUAACUCGGAAAGGUCAACUGAUACUGUGCGACUAGAGUGCGGAAGGGGCAACUGGAAUUCUUGGUGUAGCGGUGAAAUGCGUAGAUAUCGUAAGGAAGACCAGUGGCGAAGGCGGGUCUCUGGACAGUUCCUGACGCUGAGGCACGAAGGCCAGGGGAGCAAACGGG
rnacentral:rRNA from 1 species